rnacentral:rRNA from 1 species
UACGUAGGGGGCAAGCGUUGUCCGGAAUCAUUGGGCGUAAAGAGCUCGUAGGUGGUUUGUCGCGUUGUUCGUGAAAACUCACAGCUUAACUGUGGGCGUGCGGGCGAUACGGGCAGACUAGAGUACUGCAGGGGAGACUGGAAUUCCUGGUGUAGCGGUGAAAUGCGUAGAUAUCUGGAGGAACACCGGUGGCGAAGGCGGCAUCCUGGACCGAGAUUGACGCUGAGGCGCGAAAGCCAGGGGAGCAACGGG